UACGUAGGGUGCGAGCGUUGUUCGGAAUUACUGGGCGUAAAGGGCGCGCAGGCGGCUGCUCAAGUCAGGCGUGAAAGCCCCGGGCUCAACCUGGGAAUGGCAUUGGAAACUGGCUGGCUAGAGUGUGGCAGAGGGGGGUGGAAUUCCGCGUGUAGCAGUGAAAUGCGCAGAUAUCAGGAGGAACACCGAUGGCGAAGGCAGCUCGCUGGGACAGUACUGACGCUGAGGCGCGAAAGCGUGGGGAGCAAACAGG
rnacentral:rRNA from 1 species